CCCAGCGACCCCAUGGACUGCAGCCCACCAGGCUCCUCUGUCCAUGGGAUUUUCCAGGCAAGAGUACGGGAGUGGGGUGCCAUUGCCUUCUCCAUCUCUCUAUUCCAGUAGUUCCCAAACUUUGCUCGUUCAUCAUGUUCACCUUCUUUGAACAUGCUUUAUUUGCUGAUAUUUUUCUUUAAAUUGAUUCAUUUAAAAUCAAAUGCACUGAUUUAAAAAAAGAGAAUGCAUUCUUAUUGGCUAAUGAAAAACUAUUUUCACUUUCCAUAAACAGAAGUUUAAAAAAUAAAAGCCUAAAUAUCUGAAGAAGUUUGUCCAUAUACCGUGUCAAAUCAUUUGGUGUUCCCCAGUAGGUAGGUGUUGGUAAAGAAUCUGCCCACAAGGCAGGAGACACAGAUUCAAUGCCUGGGUCAGGAAGAUCCUCUGGAGAAGGGAAUGGCAACCCACUCCAGUAUUCUUGCCUGAAGAAUCCUAUGGACAGAGAAGCCUGGCGAGCUACAGUCCUUGGGGUUGAAAAGAGUCGGACAUGACUGAGCAACUAAUGCUUCACUUCACUUCAGAUGUUGAGGUAGGUGUAUCCCAGUUGGGGAUUUUCUUUGGAUCUGAGUUUUUUUGUUUUUUUUUUUGAAGCUUUACAAAUCUUUAACAUUUUUAUUUAUUUUAUUUUGGAGUAUAGUUGAUUAAUAAGCUUCAAGAUCCUACUUGCUACAAUGAAGAUGGAAGACCCGCAUGCUGCAACUAAGUCUCGGCUCAGUCAAAAAAAACCCCAGAGCUCUCACAUGCUUCCUGUUCCCAGAGGGGUGACGCUGCCUUCCUCAACAUGGCCACGAGGCCUCCAGGGAGUUUAAGCAGCAGACAGCACUGCCCAGCGUCCACUCCAAGCACCCGGAAAGCACAGAGCUGACCCUGUGAAACCGGCAUUAGGAGCCCAUGUGGAAAUGCGGAGGCUGGAACAUCCCUGAGGCUGGAGAUGCCCACCUGAGACAGGGUUUGGCCAAAAUAGAGAAGAUGGGGCUGGGCCCCACGGACUUGUGAAUUCAGUGUCGAUGGUAGAUAAGCAUGGGGUUCAGUUACGAAAUAGAUGACUUGUCAGCCCUUAGAUACGGAAGUGGCGGUAGAUAAAAAUCACUGUGAGAGCCGAAGUUAACAGAGAACAAGUUAUGCCAGACCGACUUCAUUCCUCAUUCUGACUUUGCCCUGCCAGCCUGAUUCCAUCCUUCUUUAUGGCUUUGCCCUUCUGAUGGUCUGGGGGUGGUAGAGGGGAACCUGCCGAUUAUGGCUGUUCUUUGAGCAUCUGCUCCCAUUUCUCCCGACAUUCAUGAGGACACUUCUGGAAAAUGAGCUGGAUGAUACCAGGGUGGGCUGCUUUCUGAUGCACUGAAGGCCUGAGCCCCAAGGGCCGCCUUUAGCCACGACAAGCUCAGUGGGAGUCUCAGGAGGGAGGUGGAGACGGUUCAAGAAACAAAGAGGAAACUGUCACCAUGACCUGACUGAGGAGAAAGCAGACACCAUCGAGCGGGCAGCUUUAAUUCCAUGUCUGGGACAUCAGGGCAGGGAGCCAGUGGUACUGUCUGGGGGAAACAUUAAUGGUAAAAGCAUCUCUUUGAGUGUGUGCUCCAGGUCGGGCAUGACUUGAAUCACUGUACACGGAUUCACUCAUUAUACCAGCUUAUGAAAUAAGUCUUAUUAUUUUCCAUGUUUUACACUUGGGAAAACAAGCAGAGAAAGGUCACGAUCAGCAGACUGAUGAGACUGAGUUAGACUGAGACCGUCCUCUACAUUGGGGAAGAGCAGCUAGUGUGUGCACAUAAAGAUGAGCCUCUGAGCUCCUAUCCCCACCCUGGGAAA
ensembl:lncRNA